rnacentral:RNase_P_RNA from 1 species
CAGGCCGGCCGGGCGGCCGCGUUGCGUCGUACCGACGGCGCACCGAGGAAGGUCCGGACUCCACAGGGCACGGUGGUGGGUAGCGCCCACCCGGGGAGACCCGCGGGACAGUGCAACAGAGAGCAGACCGCCAGCGGCUCCGACUCGUCGGAGUGCGGGUAAGGGUGAAACGGUGGUGUAAGAGACCACCAGCACCCCAGGUGACUGGGGUGGCUCGGUAAACCCCACCGGGAGCAAGGCCAAGAGGACCCACUGCGUGAGCAGCCGGUCUGCGCGAGCGUUCGAGGGCUGCCCGCCCGAGCUCGCGGGUAGGCCGCUGGAGCCUGCCGGCGACGGCAGGCCUAGAUGGAUGGCCGCCACCGGCGCGCAUCACGCGUGCCGGCACAGAAUCCGGCGUACCGGUCGACUCGUCCG